rnacentral:rRNA from 1 species
UACAGAGACUGCAAGCGUUAUUCGGAUUCACUGGGCGUAAAGGGUGCGCAGGCGGCCGUGUGUGUGAGGCGUGAAAGCCCGGGGCUUAACCCCGGAAUUGCACCUCAAACUACACGGCUAGAGCAUUGGAGAGGGUAGCAGAAUUCACGGUGUAGCAGUGAAAUGCGUAGAUAUCGGAAGGAACACCUGUGGCGAAAGCGGCUCACUGGACCAUUACUGACGCUGAUGCACGAAAGCUAGGGGAGCAAACAGG